AGAGUUUGAUCCUGGCUCAGGAUGAACGCUAGCUACAGGCUUAACACAUGCAAGUCGAGGGGCAGCAUGGUCUUAGCUUGCUAAGGCCGAUGGCGACCGGCGCAUGGGUGAGUAACACGUAUCCAACCUGCCGUCUACUCUUGGACAGCCUUCUGAAAGGAAGAUUAAUACAAGAUGGCAUCAUGAGUCCGCAUGUUCACAUGAUUAAAGGUAUUCCGGUAGACGAUGGGGAUGCGUUCCAUUAGAUAGUAGGCGGGGUAACGGCCCACCUAGUCUUCGAUGGAUAGGGGUUCUGAGAGGAAGGUCCCCCACAUUGGUACUGAGACACGGACCAAACUCCUACGGAGGCAGCAGUGAGGAAUAUUGGUCAAUGGACGAGAGUCUGAACCAGCCAAGUCGCGUGAAGGAAGACGGAUCUAUGGUUUGUAAACUUCUUUAGUGCGGGAACAAAGCGGCGUCGUGACGCCGGAUGAGUGUACCGCAAGAAUAAGCAUCGGCUAACUCCGUGCCAGCAGCCGCGGUAAUACGGAGGAUGCGAGCGUUAUCCGGAUUUAUUGGGUUUAAAGGGAGCGCAGGCUGCGAGGCAAGUCAGCGGUCAAAUGUCGGGGCUCAACCCCGGCCUGCCGUUGAAACUGUCCUGCUAGAGUUCGAGUGAGGUAUGCGGAAUGCGUUGUGUAGCGGUGAAAUGCAUAGAUAUGACGCAGAACUCCGAUUGCGAAGGCAGCAUACCAACUCGCGACUGACGCUGAGGCUCGAAAGCGUGGGUAUCGAACAGGAUUAGAUACCCUGGUAGUCCACGCAGUAAACGAUGAAUACUAACUGUUCGGAGGGCGACCUCUGAGUGGUAAAGCGAAAGUGUUAAGUAUUCCACCUGGGGAGUACGCCGGC
rnacentral:rRNA from 1 species